rnacentral:rRNA from 1 species
AUGCUUAUCUCGUGGGAAAUCUGGAAGGAGAGAAAUGCUCGUGUCUUCCGCAACACCGCGGUGCCGGUGGGGGUGAUUGUUGCUAAAAUCAAAGAAGAGGCUUCCAUGUGGUGCCUCGCAGGGGCAAAAAUUUUGAGUAAUGUAAUGCCGCGAGAGUAA